AGAGUUUGAUCCUGGCUCAGAUUGAACGCUGGCGGCAUGCUUUACACAUGCAAGUCGGACGGCAGCACAGAGAAGCUUGCUUCUUGGGUGGCGAGUGGCGAACGGGUGAGUAACAUAUCGGAACGUACCGAGCAGUGGGGGAUAACUAAUCGAAAGAUUAGCUAAUACCGCAUAUAUUCUGAGGAAGAAAGCAGGGGACCAUUUGGCCUUGCGCUGUUUGAGCGGCCGAUAUCUGAUUAGCUGGUUGGUGGGGUAAAGGCCUACCAAGGCGACGAUCAGUAGCGGGUCUGAGAGGAUGAUCCGCCACACUGGGACUGAGACACG
rnacentral:rRNA from 1 species